rnacentral:rRNA from 1 species
AGAGUUUGAUCCUGGCUCAGGAUGAACGCUAGCGGGAGGCCUAACACAUGCAAGCCGAGCGGUAUUGUUCUUCGGAAAUGAGAGAGCGGCGUACGGGUGCGGAACACGUGUGCAACCUGCCUUAUCUGGGGGAUAGCCUUUCGAAAGGAAGAUUAAUACUCCAUAAUAUAUUGAACGGCAUCGUUUGAUAUUGAAAGCUCCGGCGGAUAGAGAUGGGCACGCGCAAGAUUAGCUAGUUGGUGAGGUAACGGCUCACCAAGGCGAUGAUCUUUAGGGGGCCUGAGAGGGUGAUCCCCCACACUGGUACUGAGACACGGACCAGACUCCUACGGGAGGCAGCAGUGAGGAAUACUGGUCAAUGGGUGCAAGCCUGAACCAGCCAUCCCGCGUGAAGGACGACUGCCCUAUGGGUUGUAAACUUCUUUUGUAUAGGGAUAAACCUACCCUCGUGAGGGUAGCUGAAGGUACUAUACGAAUAAGCACCGGCUAACUCCGUG